CUGGGGGCCGCCAUCGUGGCACACCUGACGUACAGGAGGCGCGGCGGCAGCGUUUUCGCGGUGACAGGAUGCAAGAUACCUUUAUUGCAUCAAGAGAAAGACUGGGUAGAGGAGAGAAGACAAGAGCCCCAGUCAUAAGAGGAAGAAAGAAAAGGAAGAUCACACGUGCAGUGAAGCGGGUUACGGAGGAAAUGGGAACUAUGAAAUUAUGGCAAUGUUCAGAGGUGAUAGGGCUGUGAACAAUGUAAAGGUUCUCCAGUA